rnacentral:snRNA from 1 species
UGAGAAAACGCUCUACAGAUCAAAUUUCAACAUUUUUGGAGGGUGUUUUCUCUUUUUAAAUUUUUGGAGGCUGUUUUCUCUUUUUGAGAAAAC